rnacentral:lncRNA from 1 species
CCCUAUCUCUGGCUUAUGUAGGCCCUCCUUCUGGUCCUCUCUCAAUUGCAGCUCCGCGAUAUCCACCUCGACCUGUUCGAUCUGUCAGAAGAUGUUGCCCACCUCCAAACGAUUCCAUCUGAGGAGUCUGCAUCUGGCCAGUUUCAGCUUGUAGAUCUCCCUGUACCUCGCAUCCCCAUGGAUCAAUAUCCUCCACACCUCCCAGAUCAAGUCCCAC